AAAUUUACGUAACAAAUAUGUCAUACUUCGUAUUUUGAUGACAAAUUGCACACUGAAAAUUGAAUGGAAUUUGAAUUGACACUUUAUGGACCUGUUUUAAUACUCCAGGAUAUUAUGAUUUGGCUAAUUUAGUAUCGCAUAAUCGGACAGGUAUAUUGUUUAGAUAAAUGGUCUUGUACACUAAAGAUAAUAUUUUAAAUAAAUAUUUUAAUUUUCCUUUUUUUACUGCAUUCGUAGAUUUUAUAAUGGUAUACAAAAAUUACAUUAUUUCAAUAAACCCCCUUUUAUUUUUUGAACAAAAAUCUUUCAAAAUUUGGUGUUCAACGAAUAAAUAUUAAAAAAAUGAUUUUUGAUACAUAUUUUAAUAUUUAGUUGUGAAUCCCUUGUUGUCUAUAACAAUUUGCAGGCUCUUUGGAAUUGAUUUAAUCAAGUUGGAGUUUCCUCCAAUGAAGCUAAAGUAUGGUGUUGCAUUUCUUCUGGUAAACUCAUCUGCCCACUUCUUCCAAGGUAUAUGUAGUCAUUUAGGUAAAGGUCUGGGCUCUGGGCUGGUGUUUGUUUUGCUAUAGUUAUAGGCCAGACAAAUAUGUCCUGCAGUGCCACAAUUUAUCGCUACUGAAAAACAUUACAAAAUUCUCGCUCCUCUAGCAGAGUCAACUGCUUCGGCAGCCGAUGCUUUCUCGCGCGCGAUCUCCUAAAAUCUGAUGAAAUUUUGAUGUUAAUGUGCUUACUGAAGUGAAUAACUGAUGAUAUUUCAAACAAAAUCAUAACCGUUUCAUUUCUAACCGAGUGCGAAGGCGACGCUAUUAUUAAAUUUGUGAUAUGCAAAGACAAAUUACGAGCAAAAGGAAAAUAACAAUACGAGAACGAAAUAGAUAAACGAAUUUCUUUUCUAAAGUGCACGCGCCCUUGUUCGCAAAGUUAUUUGCAAUUAGAUUUUUGUAAGCAGACGCGAUUUUUAUCGAGUUCGAAGUUUUAAAAAAAUUGUAAGUAAAUAUAUAUAAAUUAAAUUUUUAAUCAUAUUCGAAUUUAAUUCAUUAAUUAUUCCACGUAAUGGAUUCAUUUUAUAAGCAACAACAAAUGCAACUCACAGAAGUGAGUAUUAAGGUUAAUUGAUCUUGUAGUCCCAUUUUCCAACGCAACUGAAACUAAGCUGGGCUAUACUCCGUAGGACAAGAAAACGCACAAUACUCCAAAAAUGUUAUAUAUAUUUUUUGUAUUUUUGUUUUCACUUAAAUCCUAUCCAUAAUUUAAAUAAUGAGUUAAAUUAAAAAUAAAUACAUUUUGAGAAAUAAUACAUUUUAUGAAAUAAGUUUAAUUUUUCAUUGAUGAAAGGUUGAUGCCAAAAAUCUCUAAAGAUUUGAUAUAUUUGUGAUGAACAUUUCUUUAAAAAAACUGGUGAAAUAUCGAUGAAUAGAGGAGGGAUGGUUUGCUAUUUAAAAUGCGGUCAAAAGAAGGUGAUUAAAAUCAAUGACACUCUUUUACGCUAUUUUAGCGGUGUUUAUGUGAUUUUUUCAUAGCGAUGAUUUCCUAGGUCACUAAGCUCUAAAUGUUGCCCAUAAUACAAUCAAGAAAAUGCCAUUGGCCCAUUCCAGCACUGGAAGCGUAGCCCCAAAGCACCGCAGUAUCCUUCCCAUCGGAUCCCUGUACAUUAAACUUGCCUUAAUUGUUAAAUAUAAUU